rnacentral:rRNA from 1 species
GCCUUGACACUAGGAGUCGAUGAAGGACGGGACUAACGCCGAUAUGCUUCGGGGAGCUGUAAGUAAGCUUUGAUCCGAAGAUUUCCGAAUGGGGAAACCCACCAUACGUAAUGGUAUGGUAUCCUUAUCUGAAUACAUAGGGUAAGGAAGACAGACCCAGGGAACUGAAACAUCUAAGUACCUGGAGGAAGAGAAAGCAAAUGCGAUUUCCUGAGUAGCGGCGAGCGAAACGGAACAUAGCCCAAACCAAGAGGCUUGCCUCUUGGGGUUGUAGGACAUUCUAUACGGAGUUACAAAGGAACGAGGUAGACGAAGCGACCUGGAAAGGUCCGUCGUAGAGGGUAACAACCCCGUAGUCGAAACUUCGUUCUCUCUUGAAUGUAUCCUGAGUACGGCGGAACACGUGAAAUUCCGUCGGAAUCUGGGAGGACCAUCUCCCAAGGCUAAAUACUCCCUAGUGAUCGAUAGUGAACCAGUACCGUGAGGGAAAGGUGAAAAGCACCCCGGAAGGGGAGUGAAAGAGAUCCUGAAACCGUGUGCCUACAAAUAGUCAGAGCCCGUUAAUGGGUGAUGGCGUGCCUUUUGUAGAAUGAACCGGCGAGUUACGAUCCCGUGCGAGGUUAAGCUGAAGAGGCGGAGCCGCAGCGAAAGCGAGUCUGAAUAGGGCGUUUAGUACGUGGUCGUAGACCCGAAACCAGGUGAUCUACCCAUGUCCAGGGUGAAGUUCAGGUAACACUGAAUGGAGGCCCGAACCCACGCACGUUGAAAAGUGCGGGGAUGAGGUGUGGGUAGCGGAGAAAUUCCAAUCGAACCUGGAGAUAGCUGGUUCUCCCCGAAAUAGCUUUAGGGCUAGCCUUAAGUGUAAGAGUCUUGGAGGUAGAGCACUGAUUGGACUAGGGGUCCUCAUCGGAUUACCGAAUUCAGUCAAACUCCGAAUGCCAAUGACUUAUCCUUAGGAGUCAGACUGCGAGUGAUAAGAUCCGUAGUCAAAAGGGAAACAGCCCAGACCGCCAGCUAAGGUCCCAAAGUGUGUAUUAAGUGGAAAAGGAUGUGGAGUUGCUUAGACAACUAGGAUGUUGGCUUAGAAGCAGCCACCAUUUAAAGAGUGCGUAAUAGCUCACUAGUCGAGUGACUCUGCGCCGAAAAUGUACCGGGGCUAAAUACACCACCGAAGCUGCGGAUUGAUACCAAUGGUAUCAGUGGUAGGGGAGCGUUCUAAGGACAGUGAAGUCAGACCGUAAGGACUGGUGGAGUGCUUAGAAGUGAGAAUGCCGGUAUGAGUAGCGAAAGACGGGUGAGAAUCCCGUCCACCGAAUGCCUAAGGUUUCCUGAGGAAGGCUCGUCCGCUCAGGGUUAGUCAGGACCUAAGCCGAGGCCGACAGGCGUAGGCGAUGGACAACAGGUUGAUAUUCCUGUACCACCUCUUUAUCGUUUGAGCAAUGGAGGGACGCAGAAGGAUAGAAGAAGCGUGCGAUUGGUUGUGCACGUCCAAGCAGUUAGGCUGAUAAGUAGGCAAAUCCGCUUAUCAUGAAGGCUGAGCUGUGAUGGGGAAGCUCCUUAUGGAGCGAAGUCUUUGAUUCCCCGCUGCCAAGAAAAGCUUCUAGCGAGAUAAAAGGUGCCUGUACCGCAAACCGACACAGGUAGGCGAGGAGAGAAUCCUAAGGUGUGCGAGAGAACUCUGGUUAAGGAACUCGGCAAAAUGACCCCGUAACUUCGGGAGAAGGGGUGCUUUCUUAACGGAAAGCCGCAGUGAAUAGGCCCAAGCGACUGUUUAGCAAAAACACAGCUCUCUGCGAAGCCGUAAGGCGAAGUAUAGGGGGUGACACCUGCCCGGUGCUGGAAGGUUAAGGAGAGGGGUUAGCGUAAGCGAAGCUCUGAACUGAAGCCCCAGUAAACGGCGGCCGUAACUAUAACGGUCCUAAGGUAGCGAAAUUCCUUGUCGGGUAAGUUCCGACCCGCACGAAAGGUGUAACGAUUUGGGCACUGUCUCAACCAGAGACUCGGUGAAAUUAUAGUACCUGUGAAGAUGCAGGUUACCCGCGACAGGACGGAAAGACCCCGUGGAGCUUUACUGUAGCCUGAUAUUGAAUUUUGGUACAUUUUGUACAGGAUAGGCGGGAGCCUUUGAAACCGGAGCGCUAGCUUCGGUGGAGGCGCUGGUGGGAUACCGCCCUGAAUGUAUUGAAAUUCUAACCUACGGGUCUUAUCGACCCGGGAGACAGUGUCAGGUGGGCAGUUUGACUGGGGCGGUCGCCUCCUAAAGUGUAACGGAGGCGCCCAAAGGUUCCCUCAGAAUGGUUGGAAAUCAUUCGUAGAGUGCAAAGGCAUAAGGGAGCUUGACUGCGAGACCUACAAGUCGAGCAGGGACGAAAGUCGGGCUUAGUGAUCCGGUGGUUCCGCAUGGAAGGGCCAUCGCUCAACGGAUAAAAGCUACCCCGGGGAUAACAGGCUUAUCUCCCCCAAGAGUCCACAUCGACGGGGAGGUUUGGCACCUCGAUGUCGGCUCAUCGCAUCCUGGGGCUGUAGUCGGUCCCAAGGGUUGGGCUGUUCGCCCAUUAAAGCGGUACGCGAGCUGGGUUCAGAACGUCGUGAGACAGUUCGGUCCCUAUCCGUCGUGGGCGUAGGAAAUUUGAGAGGAGCUGUCCUUAGUACGAGAGGACCGGGAUGGACGCACCGCUGGUGUACCAGUUGUUCUGCCAAGGGCAUAGCUGGGUAGCUAUGUGCGGAAGGGAUAAGUGCUGAAAGCAUCUAAGCAUGAAGCCCCCCUCAAGAUGAGAUUUCCCAUAGCGUAAGCUAGUAAGAUCCCUGAAAGAUGAUCAGGUUGAUAGGUUCGAGGUGGAAGCAUGGUGACAUGUGGAGCUGACGAAUACUAAUAGAUCGAGGACUUAACCAU